UUAUUUAUCAUUGUUAUCACCGUUGGAUAUAUUUUGUAUAUAGUACAUGUUUUGUUCUUACAAGACCCACCGAAUUUCGCUAGGAGUUAUGAUUUUUUUUUUUUGUUUUUAUAACGAAAUGGGUUUCGGUGACGAUCUGUUGUGGGGUUUUGAUUUGGUUCUCAUACACCUCUGUUGUUCAGAUUUCAGGCUUUUUGUUUUGGAUUGGUUUGGUUUUUUUUAUAACUAGGGGUCUCCAAUUAUUAUGUCUCUGAGAGAAUCUCCAGCCCUUAAUCUAAUUGGAGUAAAAAUUUGAGCAAAAGCUUCAUUUCGGAUGAAAUACUCGGAUGGAUGGACUAAAGUAUAAGCACAAAUUUGAGUAAAAGCUUCAUUAAUAGCAUAGCUAUAAAUUGUGAGCAAAACAAGCCUUCAAAAAUUUGAGUCUCCCUUGAUUUGGUGAAAGUUUGAUUAUAACCCAAUUUGAUAUGAGUUUGAGUAAAGGAUUGGAGUAAGUUUGGAGGGGAUUUUACUCAGAAUUUGGUUCUGAGUCAAUUAAAAGGGUAAGGGCCAGAGAUGCUCUUACUAAGUAAGAGACAUACGCAAGUGGCCAUAUAAAUGAAAAGGAUGCUACCGUGAUAGUUAGGUGACAACCAUGUAAGCUAUGCAACAGAAUUUGUCACGGACGAUGUGAUUCAUUACAAUUUUUGUACCUUGAUUUAUUUCAAAAACUUGCAUGCGAUUUUCGUACAUAGAUUAAUUUCACGAAGGAGUUACUAUGACCAUGCAGAUUUUAUGUUGUAUUUUCUUAUUGGCUUACAUGGUGAUCACCAUACUCUUUUUGGUUGUACUUUCCAAUUUUUUUUUUUUUUUUGAGAUCUUUCUAAGACAAGUAAGCCUCUCCAGACCAUACAAGUGCACUUCGAGCCCACCUCUUCUAUCUGCCUCUCAGUAUAUGGAGGAGCUUUCAUGCCAAAUACUUUCAUUCCUAUCAUUAGCUGAUCCUCAAGAGAUACCGCUUCCUCAUGAAUUUCACCCAUUGAGCAAAGAUUUUCCUACUCACAGCCCCAGACCACAUCUUUCUUAAACAAACUCAAUAGUGAAUCCAUGACUUAAGGUUCCUGUUAUUCUAGUGUCACUUCUAGAUUCCAAAUAUUUACAGGGUUACAAGUUUAAACAGACAACAUGUUAUUCUUAUAGUUGUAGUAAAAGUCGAGGAUUAUAGUAUUCAUGCUCAUGCUAUAUUGGAUCAGACAAGUCAUUCCAUGGUACAUCAUAUUAGAAUUCAAAUUUGAGGCUAUAAGCCUCUAGCAAUUGAAGUUGUUGAUGCUCCUCUUUCUCCCUAAGUACUUUUCUCAACACCAAGAUGGUAGUUAUGGAUGUUUGUCGUGCCCCACUUUCUCCCCUCUUUUCUAUAUUUUGGCUACACUCGAAUAAUUUAUGCACAUGGGUUGUCUACAUGAUCCCGCCCUAGAUUGGGACACCUUAUAAUUUAGGGGAAAUACAUGACUAUCUAUUAGGAGCCAUAGAUGUGAUGCUUUUGGUGAGUUGUCAAUGGCUUUGCAUGACCCUGCCCCAGC